GUGUAUAGUGUGUUUAUACUGAACCCCGGAAGUGUAAACUACGUUAUUGAAUCCUGGAAGUGUACAGUGUGUUUAUACUGAACCCCGGACGGAAGUAUACACUGCGUUCUCAUUAAAUCCUGGAAGUGUAGACUGUGUUUAUACUGAACCCUGGAAGUAUACACUGCGUUAUCAUUGAACCCUGGAAGUAAGCACUGUGUUUACACUGAACCUCGGAAGUAUACACUGUGUCUACGCUGAACCUCGGAAGCAUAUACUGUGUCUACGCUGAACCUCGGAAGUAUACACUGUGUCUAGACUGAACCUCGGAAGUAUAUACUGCGCUCUCUUUGAAUCCUGGAAGUGUACAUUGUAUUUACAUUAAACCAGCUGGAAGUGUAGAAUUUGUUAAAUAAUAAAAGGAAAUCGCCUUUGAUGUCCAAGGAAAUAAAUGUUGAUCAAUCAAUCAAUCAAUAAAUGUGUGAACAUUGAUCCCUGAAAGUUUACACUACGUACAUAUUGAAUCCUGGAAGUGUAUAUAUUGAACCCUGAGAGUUCUGUACACUGUGUACAUAUGCCUGCUCCCCAUCCCGUGUACAGUGAACUGUACGAGAAGAAUUACUCGGCCUGGAUAAUGGAAACUAAUACUGAGGACAGUGUUGUAUCAGAGCUUGAACUAUUCUCUCAGUCUGUUGUUAACAUCACAAAACUAGGGUUCAGGACUAUAGCUCAGUAUAUUGAUAUAGACUACAUGUUAUGGAUGCGAUGGCUACUCUCUCCAGUUAUAAUUGCAUUUGUUAUUCUUCCCAGCAUAAUCCUGGCAUUUAUUUACAUAUCUUCUAUAAUCCUCUACAUAUACAGAGCUCAUAGAAACAGAUUAAUUAAUAGAAUUCAAGGAUAUGUGGAACAAGGUGAUUUCUGGACUGCUGGUAGAGAAAUUGUCGCUACUUUGUGGGACGCCCAUGCCUGGCUCUGGCAUGGGUAUGAGUUGAAAGGACUAGAAAACCUUCCUACAGACCAGGGAUGUAUGCUUCUGUAUUAUCAUGGCGCUAUACCUCUGGACUAUUAUUAUCUUGUUAACAGGAUUUUACUACUGAAGGGUAUACUAGUAAACUCUGUUGUGGAUAAAUUCCUGAUGAAACUCCCUGGAGUCAAGAUAAUCAUUGAUGUUUUUGGAUGCACUGCAGGAACUGUUGAAUCUCUAGCUGAUAUGAUGGUUGAGGGGAAAAUACUGGGAAUAUCUCCUGGUGGAGUUUAUGAAGCUCAGUUUGGAGAUCAUUAUUAUAAUGUGAUUUGGCGUGAAAGACUGGGGUUUGCUAAAGCUGCAAUACGGGCCAAGGCACCAGUAGUUCCUGUAUUUACUGUUAACAUCAGGGAAGCUUUCAGAACUUUCCCUUUUUUCCACAACUUCUGGCAUUGGAUCUUUAUGAAAACCAGACUUCCAUUCAGACCUCUGUUUGGUGGGUUCCCAGUAAAGUUGACAACCUAUAUAGGACCUCCUAUAUAUAUUAACGAUGAGACAACUCCUGAACAACUAAGAGAUCAGUGUAAGACUGCUCUUGAGACUAUGAUCGCUGAACAUCAAAGAAUUCCUGGACGUAUUCUACCAGCAAUACUUGAUAGAUUCUGGUGGAGAAAUAGAGAUCAUUCGGACUAAACAUAGAUCAAAUUUUCCACAGAUCAAUCAGAGAUCAAUAAUUUGUACUUCUUUUAAAAUAGAGAUCAGAGAUCAGUACUUCCGGAGAUCAUUCAGAUUAAAGCUAAGCUAUCAAAUGUUUCUUGGGUGUAUUCAAUUCUUAAAUUGAUAUUUUAUAUGUUAGAAGUUUCUAUUUACAAUUUCCAUGUAUGUCCGUCAACAUGGACUAUAUGUUAAUUUUGUGAUAUUUACAUUACCCAUUAUUACCUGGCAUUUACAAAAUAUGUUAUAUUAUUUUCCAAUUAAAUGUGAUUUAUACGUUAAACUUGAACCAUAGAAUAGUUAUAAGUCAGUAUUAGUGUUAACUUGCAUAAUAAAAAAUAAAAAC
rnacentral:misc_RNA from 1 species